rnacentral:lncRNA from 1 species
GGGAUAGAGGAGGAAGGUGAACCAAAGGACUCUGGAGAUUUUGAUAAUGGCUGAAUGGGGGGAGGAAACGAGUAGACAAUCAUAGAAGGAAGGGCACAGUCUUCAAAAAAUCUGUAGGCUAACAGGUUUGGGGGAGGAUCCUCAACCAUUAACAAAAAGAAACCUGUGGGAAAACGGAGAAACCAGACAAAAGUAGCACACAUCUCAAAGCACAAAUCUAAUACACCAGAAUUUGACAGAUAUUUAGCAAAAGUCAAUUUAAAAAACUAAAAGGGGGUGGCUGAGAUCGAGGCAUCAUGGUUCAUGGUGGCGAUGAUAGCUCUAGCUCGAACAUAGAAGGGCAGAGGGUAGGGAUGGAAUCGGAUCAGGUUCGCACGAAUUCGGAUUCAGAUAGCACUUUUUACCAUGCUUUUAUUCGAAUGGAAAUUUGGAUUCGGAUGUUGUCGAAUGCGAAUUAGGAUUAUCUCGAAUUCAAAUCUAUAUUCGAAUAUCCAUUAAUUUGGGUGCUAGCAAUUAGAAAAUAUAAAUUUAUCUUAUUGAUAAUUUUGGAAGAACAAAAUUAUCAUUAGACAUACGAUUAUAUUUAUGGGUAAGACAUAACACAUGUAGAAAAAAAUUGUUCAUUACAAAUAUUUUUUUAAAUACUAUACUCCCU